AGCAGCGGUUAUACGCUAUUAUAAAUUAAUUUUUUUUGAAUAAAUAAAUUUAACCUACCAAUUCAAAAAAUGAAAUUUCUAAAAUUAGUAAUUAAAAAAUCUAACUGAAAUUUAGUCCGAAACCAGGAUUAGAUACCCUGUUAUCCUAAACCUUUAAAAAUAAUUCAUAAAAACUAAACUAAAUAAAUUUGACGGUAUUAACCUUUACAAAGGAAUUUGUUUCUAAAUCGAAAACACACGAAUUACCUUACUUAACUUAUGUCUGUAUACCACCGUUAAGAAAUUAUUUAAAAUAAAAUUCAAAAUAAUAAUCUUAAAAAAUCAGGUCAAGGUGCAAUUUAAUUAAGAUGAAAUGAACUACAUUAACUAUAACAUAUAAGAUUUGAAAUUAAAUCUUAAAAACAGAAUUUGUGAGUAAAAACAAAUCAUUAUGUCAAUUUGAAAAUCAACAUUAAUAUGUACAU
rnacentral:rRNA from 1 species